rnacentral:rRNA from 1 species
GACGAACGCUGGCGGCGUGCUUAACACAUGCAAGUCGAACGGUGAAGCGCCUUCCUUUUUGGUGGGUGUGGAUGAGUGGCGAACGGGUGAGUCACACGUGAGUAACCUGCCCCCUUCUUCUGGAUAACCGCAUGAAAGUGUGGCUAAUACGGGAUAUUCUGGGUCUGUCGCAUGAUGGGUCUGGGAAAGAUAUUGUUUCGGUGGGGGAUGGGCUCGCGGCCUAUCAGCUUGUUGGUGGGGUGAUGGCCUACCAAGGCGGUGACGGGUAGCCGGCCUGAGAGGGUGGACGGUCACACUGGGACUGAGACACGGCCCAGACUCCUACGGGAGGCAGCAGUGGGGAAUAUUGCACAAUGGGCGCAAGCCUGAUGCAGCGACGCCGCGUGAGGGAUGGAGGCCUUCGGGUUGUGAACCUCUUUCGCCAGUGAAGCAGGCCUGCCUCGUUUGUGGGUGGGUUGACGGUAGCUGGAUAAGAAGCGCCGGCUAACUACGUG